rnacentral:tRNA from 1 species
GCAUUUAGAGUGUAACUGGGAAGCACAUCCGACUGAUAAUCGGGAAUUUCGGAGUUCGAAUCUCGGCAAGAGUA